ACUCCUUCUGAGAUCUCAAAUGCUUUUAUAUUCUUAGACCUCUCUGGCAGCUUUUUAUUCCCCCAAGUGAUAAAAUUCUAGCAUUUAGCAGAAUGCCAUCUUACUUCUCCCAGAAGGAAGAGACUUAUUUCAGCGUUGCUACUAAACUGCACAAGAUCUCUACAUAAAAUAGCUCCUGAAUGCCAUUCUGUUAGAAAAUCUGCCCGUGACUUCCCACAUUCUAAUAUUCUGACUCUAGCAAUGGGAUAAACAACAAAAAUUCCUCUUAGGUACCUUCGAAAGGUUCUGCAAUGGAUAAGCAGUUUUGCUUUUAUAUUAAUUUGGAUGAGUUUGCUUUGAAAUGUUCCUCACUGAUAUGCCCAGAAGAAAUAAUGACUGCAGAAUCUCUUUCAACAAAAGGUCAUUUAUGUCAAUGGACGAAACACAGAGGAUCAGAUCGCCUGAAGUAAUUGCAAAUUAAUGCUCUACUGCUAAUGCAUUAACUACAUAAUAUUGAUCUACAAUUGAAUCAUACAGGCUACUGUGAAGCUUCCAACGAUACAUGGCAUAGAAGAUUUGUCUCCACCCUAACACCAUGGGGUUUAUGUCCUGGUGAAAGAAACGCUAUGACCACCUACUACCCACAACAACUGUCCUCCUCCUCUACAUAUCACAGUGGUUUUCAGACAGCUGCUCAGUGCAGGCAAAAUGCUGAAGUGUCAAUGGACCUCCUAGGAUCUAUACUACCAACACCUCCUGUUAAUGAAAAAUCUAUCACUCAGACUAAAGUAUGCCUAGUGCUUAAGAAAACAUCAGCCAAUGCAACCAACUACUGCAAACUAUUUAACAUCCCAUUCCUUAGCCAUGACUGUGAUGCCAACAACAUGUAAAGGAUGCACAGCUCUGCAUUUUUCGUCACCCAAACCAAGUGCUUGAGGGAGACUGGUGCCUGGAUGAAGAAUAGCUAUUUCAAACUGAAUGCAGGUGGGACCAAAAGUAAAGCCAUUUGGAAUUCCCUUCAGUGCUCAGUAAGACACAGGAUGAAAACUCCCUGUUCCAAAGAGCUUAUGCUGGCCAAGACAGAAACUGAAAACACAGGAUGUACUGGGAAGCACAAAUGUAUUCACUUCAGUUGCUUAACAAGGGAAAGUGAUUUAAUUUCAAAACUUUUUUGGUUAGAGAAAAAGAUACUAUUUCACUCUUAAAAAGCUAGCUUUUCCCAGGUCAGCACCAUAGAUUAUGGGGCAUCCACUCUAUCACUGAACAUCUUAAGUGAAUGGCUCCAAGCAAUGAGCAUGGAGCCAACAAUACGAACAUUUGUUCCAAUGGAUCAAUUAUGUUAAUGUGUCCUUUUUCCUACUUUGAGCUGAAAUCUUUAGUUUUAAGAUAAAUUACAGUUCUGUGAUAAAUUACUAAUUAUAAUUUUUAAAGGAAAAAAACAAC